GUAGGGUCCAAGCGUUAAUCGGGAAUUACUGGGGCGUAAAGCGUGCGCAGGCGGUUGUGCAAGACCGAUGUGAAAUCCCCGAGCUUAACUUGGGAAUUGCAUUGGUGACUGCACGGCUAGAGUGUGUCAGAGGGGGGUAGAAUUCCACGUGUAGCAGUGAAAUGCGUAGAGAUGUGGAGGAAUACCGAUGGCGAAGGCAGCCCCCUGGGAUAACACUGACGCUCAUGCACGAAAGCGUGGGGAGCAAACAGGAUUAGAUACCCUGGUAGUCCACGCCCUAAACGAUGUCAACUAGUUGUUGGGGAUUCAUUUCCUUAGUAACGUAGCUAACGCGUGAAGUUGACCGCCUGGGGAGUACGGUCGCAAGAUUA
rnacentral:rRNA from 1 species